UACGGAGGGAGCUAGCGUUGUUCGGAAUUACUGGGCGUAAAGCGCACGUAGGCGGCUUUGUAAGUUAGAGGUGAAAGCCCGGGGCUCAACCCCGGAAUUGCCUUUAAGACUGCAUCGCUUGAAUCCGGGAGAGGUGAGUGGAAUUCCGAGUGUAGAGGUGAAAUUCGUAGAUAUUGGGAAGAACACCGGUGGCGAAGGCGGCGCUCUGGACCGAGACUGACGCUGAGGCGCGAAAGCGUGGGGAGCAAACAGG
rnacentral:rRNA from 1 species